rnacentral:misc_RNA from 1 species
UCCAUCGCAGAUUAUUUCAGAACCGGGACUACACAGUUCAACAAAAACGAGACAGCCUGGCAUAAUGCCAGGCUGUCUCGUUUAGAAAUAUUUAUGCUCGUUGAACCGUGUAUUUUAUUUUAUGGAAACCUGACAGAUCGCUUCGCGGAUCUUUGCAGGCGGUUCACUCUUGUUGAGAUACCCAUCCACCCCUACUCGAAAGACCUGCUCGAUGAAGUAAUUGUCGUCGCAGGCGCUUAGAAUAAUAAUGGACACGGGCACAGCAUUCAUGCGCAAUUGUUGUGCCACGUGAAUGCCUUUCAUAUCCG